UUGAACUGAAGAGAAGAUAGAGCUUGUACAACAAUAGGGCAAGCUCUAGAAGAUGUCCAGAAGAGUUCAAUCAAGCUUCAGAGGUGUUCUGAAGUAGUUAUCUUGAGAAGUUAAGUCUAGGAAAGACUUAGACUGAUCAUGUGAAGGCUGUGAAGGAGUUAGAGAGAAGAUGGAAGUAUGGUGCAAAGAUAGGGCGUUCAGUACGGCCUUGUACGGUCUAGGGUGAAUCAUGAAGGUGUUUGGGAUCAGUCAAGAAGGAGAUAAGGCAAUGUGCAUAGUUAGGGAUAGUGGUACGGACAGGAGGUCCGUUCCAUCAACCGUACGGCCACUCCACACGCCCAAGUCAUCCGGUUCAGCCCAAAUCAAGAUGUGCAAUGUGAGGGCGGUUCACUCUGAUUCUAUCCUUUCCUAUAGUGACCGUGGAAGUGUGAGAGGGAAAGGGAAUAUACCAAAGGGAUCAAUGUGAGCUGUAUGUGCAAGCUGGAAAGGUAAAGGUGCUUUACCUUUACAGCAAAGACCAAUCUCCUCCCUUCAUUCAAAUGAAGCAAUCUGAGCUCUCCAUUCAGUCCAAAGUCGCCAGCUAUCACCAGAACAUCAAAGACCACUCUUCUCUCAUCCUUACCAUCCAUUCUAUCUUUUAAUUACAGCCUUAGGAUCUAGGUUUGUGAUAUGAGUUGUGUAAAGGCAUAUAUAAGCCUCUUAUGAUCACUUUGUAAACCCUUAAGCUGAGAGAGUCUCUCUUCUUCAUAAACUUGUUCUUGGUUCUUAUUCUCUGGUUACUAAGUCUCUUAAUCUUGUUACUAAGUCUCUCUAAUCUCCUAUACACGUUCCUAAUCUCUCAGUCUCUCUUAUACUCUCUCUGAUUCUCUUAAACUCAUUUCUACUCUUCAUACUUCAUCAUACAACAAUCUCUCAUCUGUUCUUACAUCACUCAAGUACUGGUACUCUGAAAACCUCAUAUGGUAUCAGAGCCAGGUUGCUCAGACUCCUGGUGAAGACUUCCGCUACAUCCACAAGCUCCCAAGCUCACGCCCUUGAAGAUUCAGCUCACCUUGUCCCAAGCUUCUGCCUUGAAGAGUUCUUUGACAGUCUUGUUCAUCCAGCUUCAACAUGGAGUCCAAAAGAACCAUUGUCAUUGCUGUUACUCUCAAUGGUCCCAACUACCUUCUCUGGUCACGCCUGGUGAAGACAGCUCUAGGAGGGAGAGGCUUAUGGAGCCAUUGUCUCACGGAUGCUCCAAAGCUCUCCAAGGCUGCCGGUUCAAAUGAAAGCUCAGCAGAUGGUGAAUCCGGUUCCAAAUCUGUAUCUGAGGAGAAGUGGGAACAAGAAGACCUCAAGGUCUUAUCCAUUCUCCAUAGCUCACUGUCUCCAUCCAUCCUUGAAGCAUACUCAUACUGUGAGAGUGCUAAAGACCUUUGGAGUACACUUAACAAGAUAUAUGGGAACAUCUCCAACAUCAGCCGAGUAUUUGAGAUCAAGAAGUCCAUCAACAUCCUAUCCCAAGAAGAUGAGGAGUUCACUGCGCAUCUAGGCAAGUUCAGAGCCCUUUGGUCUGAGCUAGAGAUGCUUAGACCCCAAUCUGUUGAUCCGGAGGUGUUGAUUGAAAGAAGGGAGCAAGACAAGGUGUUUGGCCUAUUACUCACCCUCAGCCCUGCCUACAGCGCCUUGAUUCAACAUAUCUUGAGGUCUGAGAAGCUCCCAACACUUGAAGAAGUGUGUUCCCAAGUCCAAAAGGAGGAGGGAUCAAUCGGGUUGUUUGGAACAAAGGAAACACUCUCCUUUGCUUCUCAAGCUGAAAGAAGCUCUCAGCCCAACAAGGCGCCUUACAAGAAGGGGGAUAGGAGAGGCCUGAAGUGUGAGCAUUGCAAGAGGGAUGGGCACACCAAGGAGAGGUGUUGGAUACUGAAUCCAAGCCUCAAACCUGUCAAGUUCAAGUGAACCGUGCCCAUGGAGGUUCAAGAGAUCAGCUCGGAUCUCUUGUUUGUAAGCAAACCUCCUAACCCUUAAUAAGAGCUUGUGUCUUUAUUUAUUGUGCUGUGAGUGGUGUCUAGAGUCCCAGAAUCUCAUGUCUUGUUAUUGCAUUGUCUUGUGUGUUGCCAUAGCUUGAAUCAUCAUGAAUGUGUUGUAGAAUUGAGUAGAAUGUCUCUACUGCUUGCAUCAUGUUUGAGAAGCUGUUUUGCAUACAUAAGCAUGUCUCAUAUUGUCUAAGUUCAAUCCGAGUGUGUACUGAUGCUAAUGCCUAUGUUUAAUCCAUCAGUGAAAGUCUAGCAUCAAUUAGAAAUUGUCUAAGUUGCUUGCAUCAUUGGUUUUGAUUGAAACUGUUGUGCAUAGCUUUAAUGUGUCUCAUGGAUUGAACCUGUUGCAUUCAUAUAGUUAAUGCUUUAGGAUUGUGCAUUCAUGUAUUGAUGCAUUUAAAAAUGAGCCUAAAUUGUCAAUGUAUUGGUAAAGCUUGCAUUGUCAUUUUAGAGAUUGAAAUCUGCUUGUUCUUGCCUUGAUUGAUUGGCUUGUUUCAAGGUUUAUAAAUUGCUGUGGCAUUGGUGAUCAAACAGGAUGAAUUAUCUUGGUUUGAUCCCAAUGGGAUGAUCUGAUCUUGCAUUGAGUUGUGGUGGUGUUAGGUACACAAGGAAAGUGAUACAUGUAACUCGCCAACAGCCAAGAAUGUAAAGACAAAGGUCUUGUGCCAUUGCAUAUCAUCACUAGGACAUGUUAGUCCAUAAUCUACAGGAAGUGUAGUGUGAUUGAUUAUGCAAUGAGAGAUGGCCAUUGCAUAAUACCAUUGGACAUAUCCAGUCCAAAGACUACAGGAAGUGUAGCAUGGGUCAUUAUGCAAUGAGAAGUGUGUCUUGUGAGUCUCUCUAUGGUGAUUCAAACACCCUAAUUCCUGGUUAAGGAAGAGAGUAAACUCACAAGAAGAAAGCUAUCAUGAAAGACUGAUAGUUAUAAGACCAUGGGGAUGCAUAUGAUCAUCACAAGCUUAGCUCCUUCUGGUCUCGGUUCUAAGCUUGAGGGGGAGUCUUAAUGCAUAUGAUCCAUGGUCAGUAACAAGUCUUUGCAAAGGCUCCUACACAGGAUCAUCAGCCGGAGUUAUUCUAGGCAGUCUAAGGGUGAAGGUGAACUGAUCAAAGCGGCUUCUAUGGUGAAGUGAUUGAUGAGAAGCUGAUGAAUCCAUUCUGCCUUUCCAAGAAGCUGAUGAUGCCAUGGAGAUGGUGCAAUGGCCGAGUGGGAACUCAUCUAAACAAAAGGGAAGUGUCCUAAGCUCAAUUCAAUUCAAUACAUUCAUCAUUUCAAAUCUAAAGUCUAGAAAUGAUACUUAAAAUGAUUGAAUGGAUUGUGUGAUGUCUCUUGAUAAGUACUGAUGCACCUUUGGGAUAAUGUAUCAGGUACAAGUGCUUGAGCCUCAUCAAAGAAGAACCUGGUCAUUUCCUAGCUUCUCUAAGAAGGCUGUGAAGUCAGUUGAGAGGGGGAGAUCCAAACCAGUUCCAUGAAGAGGUGAAGCUGAGUUGUUGAGUGCGCAAAGACUUGAGGAGUUGCUGCACCAGUUUAGGCCGUGAUCCAGAACUUCUUGUGUCCAACCACACUGGUUCUAAGGCACAAGAGUUCACUGGCCAAUCCCUAGGCUUUGGAGAGCUCCACUCUUUUUCCCUUGCAAGGUUUUGUCCCAAUGGGUUUUCCUUGUAAGGUUUUUAAUGAGGGAGACUCUUCAGAGUUCCAAGCUUGGCUUAGGAUCUCCUAAAGUCAAGCUUGAGGGGGAGUGUUGAACUGAAGAGAAGAUAGAGCUUGUACAACAAUAGGGCAAGCUCUAGAAGAUGUCCAGAAGAGUUCAAUCAAGCUUCAGAGGUGUUCUGAAGUAGUUAUCUUGAGAAGUUAAGUCUAGGAAAGACUUAGACUGAUCAUGUGAAGGCUGUGAAGGAGUUAGAGAGAAGAUGGAAGUAUGGUGCAAAGAUAGGGCGUUCAGUACGGCCUUGUACGGUCUAGGGUGAAUCAUGAAGGUGUUUGGGAUCAGUCAAGAAGGAGAUAAGGCAAUGUGCAUAGUUAGGGAUAGUGGUACGGACAGGAGGUCCGUACCAUCAACCGUACGGCCACUCCACACGCCCAAGUCAUCCGGUUCAGCCCAAAUCAAGAUGUGCAAUGUGAGGGCGGUUCACUCUGAUUCUAUCCUUUCCUAUAGUGACCGUGGAAGUGUGAGAGGGAAAGGGAAUAUACCAAAGGGAUCAAUGUGAGCUGUAUGUGCAAGCUGGAAAGGUAAAGGUGCUUUACCUUUACAGCAAAGACCAAUCUCCUCCCUUCAUUCAAAUGAAGCAAUCUGAGCUCUCCAUUCAGUCCAAAGUCGCCAGCUAUCACCAGAACAUCAAAGACCACUCUUCUCUCAUCCUUACCAUCCAUUCUAUCUUUUAAUUACAGCCUUAGGAUCUAGGUUUGUGAUAUGAGUUGUGUAAAGGCAUAUAUAAGCCUCUUAUGAUCACUUUGUAAACCCUUAAGCUGAGAGAGUCUCUCUUCUUCAUAAACUUGUUCUUGGUUCUUAUUCUCUGGUUACUAAGUCUCUUAAUCUUGUUACUAAGUCUCUCUAAUCUCCUAUACACGUUCCUAAUCUCUCAGUCUCUCUUAUACUCUCUCUGAUUCUCUUAAACUCAUUUCUAC
rnacentral:lncRNA from 1 species